rnacentral:rRNA from 1 species
GGUUGUAAUUUGUAGAGGAUGUUUCGGGUACCGCCUCGGUUUAAAUUUCUUGGAACAGAAUGUCAGAGAGGGUGAGAAUCCCGUCUUGGACCGGCGGUAGGGCCCAUGUGAAACUCCUUCGACGAGUCGAGUUGUUUGGGAAUGCAGCUCAAAAUGGGUGGUAAAUUUCAUCUAAAGCUAAAUAUUGGCCAGAGACCGAUAGCGCACAAGUAGAGUGAUCGAAAGAUGAAAAGCACUUUGAAAAGAGAGUUAAACAGUAUGUGAAAUUGUUGAAAGGGAAGCGCUUACAACCAGACUUGCGCGCGGCGGUUCCCCCUUCCUUUUGGUUGGGCUACUCCGUCGUGUCCAGGCCAACAUCGGUUCUGGGGGUCGGUUAAAGACCCUGGGAAUGUAUCUACCCUUCGGGCGUAGACUUAUAGCUCAGGGUGUCAUGCGACCUCCCGGGACCGAGGAACGCGCUUCGGCUCGGAUGUUGGCGUAAUGGUUGUCAGCGACCCGUCUUGAAACACGGACCAAGGAGUCUAACAUCUAUGCGAGUGUUUGGGUGUCAAACCCGGAACGCGAAAUGAAAGUGAACGGAGGUAGGAAGCCUUGAGGCUGCACUAUCGACCGAUCCUGAUGUCUUCGGAUGGAUUUGAGUAAGAGCAUAGCUGUUGGGACCCGAAAGAUGGUGAAC